UACGGAGGGUGCGAGCGUUGUCCGGAAUCACUGGGCGUAAAGGGCGCGUAGGUGGCCUGUGGAAGUCUGCGGUGAAAGCCCGGCGCUCAACGCCGGGUCGGCCGUGGAUACUCUCGGGCUCGAGCUUACUAGAGGCAGAUGGAAUUCCGGGUGUAGCGGUGGAAUGCGUAGAGAUCCGGAAGAACACCGGUGGCGAAGGCGGUCUGCUGGGGUAAUGCUGACACUGAUGCGCGACGAGCGGUGGGAGCAAACAGG
rnacentral:rRNA from 1 species